GACUCUUAAAAAAAGCCCGGUUGCUGAUACUUCAGCAGAGUCGUCUGUGUUCAAUUUUGGUUACAUCUUUUUCUAUGGGGAUUUGAACCAAUAUCUCCCCCGAGACCGUCGGCUUAGCUCCCGACAGCGUACUUCACCGAUGCUGUCUGGGCUCGUCAUUUUGUAAAGGAAAAUUAAUGGACUCCUGGUUUAGCUGACUUUUUACUUCUUUUUCCUGAUGUUUAUCGGGUUCCACUGAGACCCUCACCAUAGACGAGUUUUUGUCCUACAUGACAUCGAUCGAGGAUCCAUCUAGACUGCUUUUCCACUCUCCGUUGUAUACGACAGGCCUAGCUACGUAUUCCACCAUUCCAAGUUCAGGUCGAACUCAAUUCGCCAAGUAGAUCGAACUGUCAACUUCUCAACGCUUUGGCCUAUUUUGGAGUUUUUUUAUUCCGGGAUUUUAUUACAUAAUUAAUUGCUCUGUUAUAAUUCCCUUGAAUAUACGACGAAACUUUAUUUGCUGUCUUCAAUUAUUUGAUAUAUCAUACAGGCAUUUCUUUGAGUUGUAAACACUCUGUAAAUUUGUCAAAGAAAACAUUCGAAUCAUUUUAAUUAUAAAUCGAAGUCAUCGAACUAAUUAUUUUGUCAAGUGCUUAUUUUUCUUGAAUGAUCACGUUUAGCUAAAAAGUUGGGGUGUUUGAGUCGCCGUGCUUGUUGUUGCUUGUUUAGUUUUCCCCCUGUUUUUUCCUAGUCCCAUUGAUUGGUGUGUUUGAUUUGUCUUUGUUUUUAAAAAGAAACAUAAUAUUUUCUCCACCAAAUUCACCAAAAUACUCAGAUCCGUCCCAACAAACACUUUUUGAAUAUUCCAAGUUUUCCAAACAUGAUGUGAGAAUAAACUAGAGGCAGACAUACCUUCAAGGUUGAAGCCUUCUCAUUCAGAUGAGAAUAUAA